UACGUAGGGACCGAGCGUUGUCCGGAAUCAUUGGGCGUAAAGAGCGUGUAGGCGGCUAUUUAAGUCCUGCGUGAAAUCCUGCGGCUCAACCGCAGACGGGCGUGGGAAACUGGAUGGCUAGAGUGCGGGAGAGGAGAGUGGAAUUCCCGGUGUAGCAGUGAAAUGCGUAGAUAUCGGGAGGAAUACCGAUGGCGAAGGCAGGUCUCUGGGCUGACACUGACGCUCAUGCACGAAAGCGUGGGGAGCAAACAGG
rnacentral:rRNA from 1 species